rnacentral:rRNA from 1 species
GAUGAACGCUGGCGGCGUGCCUAAUACAUGCAAGUCGAGCGAACGGACGAGAAGCUUGCUUCUCUGAUGUUAGCGGCGGACGGGUGAGUAACACGUGGAUAACCUACCUAUAAGACUGGGAUAACUUCGGGAAACCGGAGCUAAUACCGGAUAAUAUUUUGAACCGCAUGGUUCAAAAGUGAAAGACGGUCCUGCUGUCACUUAUAGAUGGAUCCGCGCUGCAUUAGCUAGUUGGUAAGGUAACGGCUUACCAAGGCAACGAUGCAUAGCCGACCUGAGAGGGUGAUCGGCCACACUGGAACUGAGACACGGUCCAGACUCCUACGGGAGGCAGCAGUAGGGAAUCUUCCGCAAUGGGCGAAAGCCUGACGGAGCAACGCCGCGUGAGUGAUGAAGGUCUUCGGAUCGUAAAACUCUGUUAUUAGGGAAGAACAUAUGUGUAAGUAACUGUGCACAUCUUGACGGUACCUAAUCAGAAAGCCACGGCUAACUACAUG